rnacentral:rRNA from 1 species
CCUACGGGGGGCAGCAGUGGGGAAUAUUGGACAAUGGGCGCAAGCCUGAUCCAGCCAUGCCGCGUGGGUGAAGAAGGCCUUCGGGUUGUAAAGCCCUUUUGUUGGGAAAGAAAAGCAAUCGGUUAAUACCCGGUUGUUCUGACGGUACCCAAAGAAUAAGCACCGGCUAACUUCGUGCCAGCAGCCGCGGUAAUACGAAGGGUGCAAGCGUUACUCGGAAUUACUGGGCGUAAAGCGUGCGUAGGUGGUGAUUUAAGUCCGUUGUGAAAGCCCUGGGCUCAACCUGGGAAUUGCAGUGGAUACUGGGUCACUAGAAUGUGGUAGAGGGUAGCGGAAUUCCUGGUGUAGCAGUGAAAUGCGUAGAGAUCAGGAGGAACAUCCGUGGCGAAGGCGGCUACCUGGACCAACAUUGACACUGAGGCACGAAAGCGUGGGGAGCAAACAGGAUUAGAUACCCGGGUAGUC